CUUGCUUCUCUUGAGAGCGGCGGACGAGGUGAGUAAUGCCUAGGAAUCUGCCUGGUAGUGGGGGAUAACGUUCGGAAACGGACGCUAAUACCGCAUACGUCCUACGGGAGAAAGCAGGGGACCUUCGGGCCUUGCGCUAUCAGAUGAGCCUAGGUCGGAUUAGCUAGUUGGUGGGGUAAUGGCUCACCAAGGCUACGAUCCGUAACUGGUCUGAGAGGAUGAUCAGUCACACUGGAACUGAGACACGGUCCAGACUCCUACGGGAGGCAGCAGUGGGGAAUAUUGGACAAUGGGCGAAAGCCUGAUCCAGCCAUGCCGCGUGUGUGAAGAAGGUCUUCGGAUUGUAAAGCACUUUAAGUUGGGAGGAAGGGUUGUAGAUUAAUACUCUGCAAUUUUGACGUUACCGACAGAAUAAGCACCGGCUAACUCUGUGCCAGCAGCCGCGGUAAUACAGAGGGUGCAAGCGUUAAUCGGAAUUACUGGGCGUAAAGCGCGCGUAGGUGGUUUGUUAAGUUUGGAUGUGAAAUCCCCGGGCUCAACCUGGGAAAC
rnacentral:rRNA from 1 species